rnacentral:rRNA from 1 species
GACGAACGCUGGCGGCGUGCCUAAUACAUGCGAGUUGAGCGCUGAAGGUUGGUACUUGUACCAACUGGAUGAGCAGCGAACGGGUGAGUAACGCGUGGGGAAUCUGCCUUUGAGCGGGGGACAACAUUUGGAAACGAAUGCUAAUACCGCAUAAAAACUUUAAACACAAGUUUUAAGUUUGAAAGAUGCAAUUGCAUCACUCAAAGAUGAUCCCGCGUUGUAUUAGCUAGUUGGUGAGGUAAAGGCUCACCAAGGCGAUGGUACAUAGCCGACCUGAGAGGGUGAACGGCCACAAUGGGACUGAAACAACGCCCAAACUCCCUCGGGAGGCAGCAGGAGGGAAUCUUCGGCCAUGGACGAAAGUCUGACCGAGCAACGCCGCGUGAGUGAAGAAGGGUUUCGGAUCGUAAAACUCUGUUGGUAGAGAAGAACGUUGGUGAGAGUGGAAAGCUCAUCAAGUGACGGUAACUACCCAGAAAGGGACGGCUAACUACGUG